rnacentral:lncRNA from 1 species
GGGGGGGCAGCCGCUGAAGAGGCAGCAGUUUUACUUUAAAUGAAAAUCACACGAAAAUAUUUUUCCAACUCCUGGCUUUUUUGAGACAUCACCAGAAAGCACUGCCAGCUGUGAUUACGUCUAAUGUGAGAGCAUGAACUAAUUUAAGAGGUGAGAGCUGAAUAAUGAACCUACAUCCAGUGGAGCAGCCAAGAGUAGCAGCUCUCCCCGUGGAAGGCACCGGGAAAAACACCCCUGUAGAACUAACCUCAUACCCUUCCACAAAUGUUUACCAAGUGCCAGCCUUGUCUGCCCGGUUGCAACCAAGAACAAACCUGGAACCUGUUUGCUCGGAGCACACAGCAGGGUUGAGAUCACCUCCAGGGAUGUGGUUGCCUCCUGGUCUCUCAUUGUGGUAAGGUGAUGCCCAGCCCUGAACUGCCUUCUAUAUGCCAGUGACCCUCCAUUUUGUAUCUCCCAUCUGAGCCUUUUUCUGAGCCAGACCUGUCAUCCUAUGGGCCUAUUGGACCUUUUUGCUUAUGUAUCUUUAAGGUACAAUUAACCUUCCAGAUCCUUCUUUUCCUAUCCCAGUGACAAUGACUGUGGCCACCUAGAUAUGCAGUCUAAGGACCCCCACACCUAACCUGAUUGUAUAUGUCCUGUUGUUUAAGCCAUUCUCCUUAGACUGUUAGGGGCUCAUUAUCUCCACCUGGGCAACUUACAGCAUCUUCCUAAUGUAUCAUUCAGGGAUUAGUGAAGGAUCGCCUGAUACUGUUUAUUCUUUCACUUGAUGAAUAGCCAUCAAAGCCCUGAAAUAUGUAACCUCCACUUUUCUCCCAUGUAAGUGAGAUUUCAAAUGUCGUAUUACCUCCGAUUCUCCCAUCCCUUUUUCAUGUAGUAUAUAUUCAAAAAAUAAUGAAAAACAAUUUAGUGUUAAUAGUCCCAAAUUGUGAGGACUAAAGGAGAUUAUGUACAUGAAAAGGAAAAUCCAUUAGAGACUUCAAAAGCAGUCAUGUUUAUUUUUAGGCUUAUUAUGUUUUGGAGUCAGAAUCCUUUUAGCUGCAAGUGACAACACCAAUUCAAACUGGCUUAAGGAUUUCAUUUGGUUGAUGCAUAAAGCCUUGGAUAGAUCUUGCCAUUUAAGGCAUGAUUGGCCCUGUCAGUCAAGGUUACCAGGAUCUCUUUCCAGUAUUGGCAUCAUUUUCAGACAACCUGUUUCCAUAUAUGAGGCCCUUAGAGGUAUUACUAAGUCCUAGCAAGAAAAAAAAAGCAGUAUUUUUAGUCAAUAUUUGUAGCUGGAGUCCCAGAACCAUUCUUACAAGGGCAGCUGCAGUCACUUACCCUCUCUGGAGGUAGAGAAUGGACAGUUUGGUUGACUAAUCUUGGGCCUGGUCGCCAUCCCCUGCAAAGGGGUUUGUUGUGAGCUGCACAUAUUCUGGAAUAGAGGGACUCUCUAAAGAAAAUUAGAGAAGGGAUGCAGGACAGGCAGAAACCAUGAUGUCUACCUUAGCCCUUCUUACAGGUUUAACUGCAGUACAUUCCACACAGUAAGAAUGGUGAUGAGGAUGACAGAGGAAUAGAAGCAAUAGAUAUGUGUGUGGCUGUGAUCUUCAAGACCUCAGCUAAAUAGGAAGUCAGGUCUAUCAACCAUGAUGUUAUCUGAGGUUCUCUUUGAAGUCUAGAUGCACCUGAUACGGUAGGACUACAUGAAUCUAAAUCAACGGUCAUAACAUUUUAUUCUAAAAAAUUUUUUGCCAGUGUUCUGUUGGAAUUUUUUUUCUUUUCUUUUCUUUUCUUUUGUACCAAGCAUCAAACUCAGGACCUUGCACUUGCCAGGCAGGCGCAGGUGCCACUGAGCUAAAUCCUCAGCUCCUAAUUUUUAUCUUUUUAUUUUUUAGGUUCUCAGGAAGGUGAAGGUAAAAUUUUCAGUUCUUUCUGGACAUAUACCUAAAAUUCCUUAUUAUUCAUCAACUGAUGAAAAUUUGAGAGAGUCUAAAGAGUAAAAAGUAGUUUCAGAAAUGUACUGACUGUAGAAUUUAACUUUCUAAGGCUUUUCAGGUGUUGAAAUACUGGUAAAGUAUUAAAAAGCCACUUCUCUGAAGCUUUUAAAAUAACAAAGAUUUAGGAAACUGCAAGAUUACAAAUAAUGAAUUUAUACCACUACUAUUAUAUCUUUUACUUUUGGCUUUAAAUAUGGUAUCACAUUGUGGUGCAGUCAAAGGUUUAUUUCCUCUCCUGUGCUCUGAAUUUCCCACCACAGUGCAGUCUAAGAAAUGAAUGUAGCCGCAGCCUCCACCGAUGCUGUAUUCAUGGUUGCCCCGCUCCCCUCCUACUCCAUACCCUGGGAAAAAACGGCAACCUCCAUGGGAAUGAGCGCAUUUUCAGGAAAAGGGGGGUAUUUUCUUAAAGAAUGUGAAACAAACUCAUCCUUUUAUUAAAUCAAAAUGGAUUCGCUAAUGUUUAUACACAUCAAAUGGAGUUUUAUCUCUUUCCUCUUGUUCAAAGGCCCAGACAGUGCCAUUCCCUAGGGCUUGGUUCAUUUGCUCCUAAAGCAGAAGAGACAGUCCACUUUGUUCUGAAGAUUGUUAAUUUUAGGAUAUCAAGGGUCAAAGUCAUUUCAGGCUAAUUCCUAAAGUUAUACUAUAAAAUACAGGAAUGAUUCUAAGUUGUACAAAGUAUGAAAUACUGUAAUAUUUUAACUUUGACCAAAACCUUUACCUUCCUGGGUGUGUCUUUUUUGCCUAUUCAGAUUCAUAUUAAAUGCAACAUUUUUGCUGUUUAAAUUUUAAAAGUUAUGUUUAAAAAUUAACCUUAUAAUUGAACAUUUUUACUAAUACAGGAAAAAGACAGGAUUACUUUUUAAUGAAGGCCAGGUUUGUGGUAACAUUUUUAUUCUUUUAAAAAAAUUUUUCUUUUGAUCUUAAAAAAUAAAAGAACACAUUUAAAAUGCCUUUAGUUCUUACGUUAAUACCAAAUUAUGUAUUUUUUUAGUCUGUUUCAGAAGGAGAUACCGCCUUCUCAGUUAAAAGAUGCUGACACUAUUUUCAAAACAAUGCCUUGAAUCUGCUGUGGUGUGGGCAGGUAGGAAUUUUGUAUGAAGCUAUUAUUCAAGUAGAAGGAACUAAGGUCAAAGGCCAAAAAAAAACAUUUAAAAGUGUAUGUCUACAGAACUGCACCUGAGAGAAAACUAGAUAAUGUCACAAACUCGUUGGAAUUUUUCCAUGAAUUAUCUGUGUGCUGUUUAGGAUGGUUGGCUAUAGGGCCAAACCAAGGUUUAGUGAAUUCACCAAACAUUUAUGGGGUGCCAAAGUAUGCAAGACCUCAAACAUCAUGGUUAGAGGUAGCAAGCCAUGCAUAUUUGAAGAACCUCCACUUACACCUCUUCCUUUUGGUUCUACUCAGAAAGCCUCCUGAAAGUGUUAUCUUUGAUUAUUCUUUGUAUUUGUGUACCUUUAUCUUAUCAGAAGAUAGACAACAUUUAUACAUAUAAAAUUAAUAAAUUACCAAACAUUCGAACAAAUAGUUCAGUACAUAAUUCAAAUACAUUUGACAUUUAUCAAAGAAAUGCUGGGUGUUAUCAUCUAGGCAGAUAGCUGGAUUAACAUUUGGGGAAAGUUAUCACCCAUUUUUGAUAGGAAUCUCAGGGAAAUGUCCUGCAUCUCAUAGUCAUUGACGAUUGUAUGAAGACUUCCUACAGUUCGGAAAUCUCUUAGAAUGGGAUCUUAGAGAAAAGCCUGCCAACUAGAGGAUUUGUUAAACCAUGGACUUUCAAGUCACCAGAAGGACAAUGAAAGAAAAACUUUUAAAUAGAGAUUGAAGAGAGGAAAAUACAGAAAAAUAAGAGGUGAGGCCAAGAUGGGGUAAGUUCCUUUGACACCAUGCACACAAGACAGUGGUUCUUGUGUAGUGGCUCUAAAACCAGAAUGGAAGGAAGGGCUAAAGUCUCACUCCAGUGCUCGUUAGGGAUGCACAGAAAAAAAGAGGAAAGCAAAGGAAUAAACUACAAGCAAUUACACUCUACCAGGUACAGCAUUCACACCCCAAGCCUGACACUAGACUCUGCUGCUCCCUCUGGAAAUUGAUGUGGGCUUCAGUGCUGCUGCUGCCACAGCCAAAAUUGAGUCCCUGCAGUCUUGGCUUGUCCUGUGUCAUGCCAAGAGUCAACAGCAUCUGAAUGGUUGCACCUAGAUCACGUCUGAGCCCUAGCUGCAAGGGAGGCUGGGAAAGUGAGCAUCUGACGCCUAUGGAAUUGUUGGUCUCUGCCUCCUGUCAGUACUCAGGAGGUAGAGAAAUCCACAGCCAAGAGAUCACUUUAGAUGCUGGGUGAUGUCAAGGGUAACAGAAGGUGCAAAAAGGAUGACAAGUCCCCACUAGAACUUUCUUUCAAUACUCCUAAGCCCUAAUUAAGAGCUCCACUCAACAUGUAUCUAGGACAUGGCUGGAAAAAGCCUUGUGCUCAACUUUGAGAAGAAUUAAAUUAAAGGAAUGAUUACUAAGGGUGGGCAAGGUCUAGAGAACCACAAGAGACAGUGCAGCACUCCAGAACUGGCAACAGUAGGGAGCUUUCAACAUCCUGGGCCUGAAGAGGCAAGGGGAGGAAGCAUUUCCCAGAGCCAGAGGCAGGACUGCCUAACUGUGUGGAGAGAAUCAUUUAAAAUAAACGACCCAGCCCUGGGCACCUCCUCACCAAGAGGACAAGAGGAGCAAAUGCCACUCCUUCCUUUCCUGUGGUUCCCUGUUGAAGCUCCCCACCAGCCUGGCCAGAGACCAGAGGGCCAGGGAGCACAUGCAGGUAUGAGCUGCAGAAGAAGACUGGAGAGCAAAUGUGGAGAAAUAAACAGAAGAGGUUCUGCACUUACGGCUUCAUCGAUAUGUCACUGGCAUUUUUUCUUUUUUAAAUUCAGUAUCUCCUUUGGGGAUGUCCCUUUACAUUUUCAGUAGCUCAGCCCACAAGAUCAAUGGACUUAAAAUGUUCUUCUCAUCCUGAAUUUAACGAGAUGCUAUUUCCCCCUUGUUUGCUAUUUAGAAUGUUCUAUUGUAUGGUUCAACAAUCUGCACCAUUAAAGGUUAGCAAAUCCCAACCAGGACAUUUUUUUUCCCUUUCUGGGCUUGGGGAAAAAGGAGAAGAGGUGUGACCUGCACAGACAGCAUCAAAAAUCUCCUUUUCUGAAUCUUCCUGCAGAAAUCCUCUCUAUGUAUUGUCUCAGCACAGGAGAUUUCCUGUUGUUCAUCCCUGCCUCCUCCUCAUUAAUAUCCAGCCUUUUAAAUAAAGCAUGUACAAGAAUAGUCAAUAAAAUAAACCCCACAUGAUUACCAACAGUUGCAGGCCCAUGAGUUCCCCAAGGAUUCACCCACUGUAACCCCUCAUCCUUUGAAAGUACAUGAUAACUUGUGUUAGAGUAAUCAGUUAUUGGGCCAGGGAUUUAGCUCAGUGGUUCCAGUGCCUGCCUCCCAAGCACAAGCUCCUGAGUUUGAUCCCUGGUACCAAAAAAAAAAAAGUCACCAGUUAUUUAGUUUGGGAAAGAAUACCAAGGGGAAACCUUCAUCAUCAUCUUCAAGUAUAUGAUGUGUUCCUUCCCAGAGUAUGGAAAGCAAGUGUUUUCCCUGUCCUCAAUCAAGGGAGUGAGUACAGCACGAGGAAUAAAAUAGAAAUAAAAUAAUAAAAUGGUUGCACUUUGAAACUACAAUGUUAAGUGAAAUAAAUCAGACACACAAACUUGAAUAUUGCAUAGUUUCUUUUAUGUGAGAAAUUCAAAAUUUAAAUAAAGAACAAAAUAACAGAUAAUAGGAAGAUAGAUCAUUCUCAAAUGGGAAGGGGAUUAAGAGAGAAGGAGAAGGAGGGGAGGAUGCUGAAAAAAUUAAGAUGUUUUAUGUAUGUGUACCAACUCCACACAAAAAUGUAAACAUUAUGUAUUACAAACAUACUAAUAAAAACUGAUGAAGAAAACAAGCCUACAGCUGGGCAAAAUCAUUAACCACAAAGCCUAUUUUGCAAUAAAAUGUUGAAUAUUUGCCAAAAAAUAACAUUAAUAAAAGUCUUACUUUAAAAUGCAAAUGAAACCAAAUGUGGCAGCACACACCUGUAGUCCCAGCCCUCUGAGCAACUGCAGCAGGAGGAUCACAAGUUUGAGUCCUGCCUGGGCAACUUAACAAGAGCCUGUCUCAAAACACAAAAUAAAAAAAGCUGAAGAUGUAGAAUAGUGCAAAGGCCCUAGGUUCAAACCCUAGUACUACCACUAAAAAAAAUUGCAAAUGACAGAGAAAUACACACAGCAAAGUUGACUUCUAUGCUCUGGAAGUUUGAGCUAAUUAUUUCUAAAAUUAUUCAGGUGCUUUCACAUUUACUACCUAAAUUUUCUUUUGUUGUUGCGAUUUUUGCCAUGGCAUUCACUAAAAUUUGUUUCUUUAAAUAUUUUUUCUUAGGCUUCAUGUUGCAUAUAAAUGUAAAUUUUUGUCAUGUAGAUUGUCUCGUUUAACUUCCCUCAAAUAUCCAGCUGGCAGCUGAAUACCUCAAUUUGGAUUUCCCACCAACAUGUGCCACACUUACAUGUGCAGUUCAGAACCAGCAUGUGCAAUGCCGUGGUACCUUGGUUCACAAACUUAAUGUGUUUUAUGAUUUGGGGGAAGAUGGCUGCGUUUGUGUUUGUGUGGGGAACAUGACCAUGGUUGUGUUACCCAAUGUGGAGUUUGUGAACAGAAGCAAAGUCUUAUGUUACCACUUGUACAAUUCCUCUAUGGUUGGCUAUCACCCUUGGGUUACUGAAAAGCAUGGCAUGGCAUUCAAAUCUUUGUCCCUCAUUGUUCGUCUUGCUCCCCAGCCCAUAUCUCAUUGCUUCAUGGACUCUGAUCACUCUGAGCCACUUGAUAUUCCAUACCACUCAUGGGGAGCCCACACAUAGACACCAACAUGCUUUUGCACACACUUUUCCCUCAGCCUGAGUUGUUCUCCAUCCCAUCUGGCCUGGAGACCUUCUCUUCACCCUUCUAGUCCAAACACAGUCACUCAUUGUGUACUUGCAUUGUUUCUUGUGCAAAUAAUAGGGCAGAACAUCUGGCCAAAGGCUCCUGAUGGUCCAGCUGAGAAGUAGUGCAGAAGACUAGAUGAUGGCCAGGGAAAUGGAGUGGGCAGAGUCUAGGGUGGUGAUGGCAAACCUUUUAGAGCUUUCAAUGAUAACAAACAGCUGGCUGCAGCAUGCAUGUCAUAGAUUCUCCUCCACUAGUCUAGGGCAUACUCUUUGUGUAGAGUUUUCUAGACCUUCUGAUGGGUUGGCUGUGGGGACAAGAGGAGAGAAGAAAUCCAAAUCAGAGCAGGCAGCUCCAUCAGCAGGAACAAAUUACAGGGAAAACUACACCCUGGGACCCAACUUCAGUAAUUAUCACCUCUGUGUCAGUCUUGUUCCUUUACACCCCAACCUCCUUCCUCCUGCUGCCCAGCCCCACCCACACAAUGGCUUAUUUUGAAGCAAGUGCCAGACAUUUUAUAAUUUCACCUGUAAAUAUUAUGUCUGUAUUUCUAAAAUAAAAGAACUCUUUUUAAAAAAACAUAAUACCAUUAUCAUUUCUAAAAAAAAUUACUGAAGAAUGUAAACAAACAAAACUAAUACUAGUACUUUAUAUCAUUGGGUAUACGGGUAUACAGUACAUUUAGCAAUUACGUUUUCCCAAUGUGUUAUUUGUUGUUGGUUGUUUGUUUGAAAUGGAAUCUAAAUUGGCCUAUAGACAGUAUUGAUUUGUUGCUGUGUUUCCUAACUCCCUUUUAAUCUCUUCCCCCCUUACCUUUGUCUCUUCCAGUUUGGUUGUUGUCAUUAGUAAUGUUGCUGUCACUGAAGAAACUGGAUGUUCGUUCUGUACAAUGUUAGAAUUUCCUGAUUGCAUCACUGUGGUGUUGUUUAACUUGUUCUUGUGUCUCCUCUAUUUCCUGAGAAUUUAUUUUAUCAGAAACGGGAGUUUUGUUGCUGUUGUUGCCUUGGGGAAGGUCAGCAUGACCAUUUCAUAGAUGGUGUUUUAUAUGUUCAUCAAGAAGCUUAUCAUGUCUUAUUAUCUAUUUUUGUGAUGUUAGCAACCAUCAAUGUUUAUUACCUAUAUCUAUUCAUUUAUUAGACCUGUCAAAGUGGCAGUAUUCUGAUUGUAUCUUUUUUUUCUUCAUUUUCUGAGUGAGAUGUUCUGGAAAGAGGACAGUUCAUACAGAAAAAAUAGUAGAAGCUAUGUGUUUUAUAUUCCCCUUCAUAUACCAAUUUUCUAAAUAAUGAGUUGUUCCCAGGGGCCAGGGAUGUAGCUCAGUGGCAUUGUGCUUGCCUCGAAAGCCCAAGGUCCUGAGUUUGAUCCCUGGUACUGGAAAAAAAAAAAGAGUUAUUCCCUGUCAUCUUCCAAAGGUCAUGAAUGAAUGAAUGAAUUUACUUUUAUUUUAUCAUUAAUAUUAUUAAGGGAUUACUUGCUAAAUAUGUUUAUAUGUAGAUUGCAGUUAUAUUUAUUGAUAUCUAAAUUAUUCUGUCUUUGGUCAAUGGAAGCCAAAUCAAGUCAGCUCUAAACUACUUCUGAUAUGACCCUAAUUUCUUUUACAAGCUUCCUCCUUUCUGGUAUGUUUCAAGUUCAUCUUGUGUAUUUCCUGCUGCAGACCUGGAAUCAGCCAUUUCUCUUAGAAUUUCCAGGUUCCUUUCAAUGGGAAAUAUUGUUUAGAGACCACAAUCUGGGCAGUAAGUACACUCAUCGCUUCUCAGCUAGUUACUAUUUACAGUGGGCAAAGACAGAAUAUGUGUGUGUGUGAUUUUUUAAAGAAAUUGCAUGUCCAAUUCAAAUUCAGGAUAACCAUGGAUAUCCAUAAAGUGUCUUCUUUCUCCUGUGACGAAAAUCUCAAUUCUAAACAAUCCCAAUGUAAUUUCCAGUUUUCUCUAUUUCAUACUACACAAAAUCAACUUCAAAAUAAUUAGACAAAAACUAAAUUAACAAUAAACUAACUAUAACAGUUCAGUUUUUUUUCUUUGUCUUUCAG